rnacentral:rRNA from 1 species
AGCGAACGCUGGUGGCAGGCCUAACACAUGCAAGUCGAGCGCCCCGCAAGGGGAGCGGCAGACGGGAGAGUAACACGUGGGAACAUGCCCUUCAGUACGGAACAACCAAGGGAAACUUUGGCUAAUGCCGUAUACGCCCGUAAGGGGAAAGAUUUAUCGCUGAAGGAUUGGCCCGCGUCUGAUUAGCUAGUUGGUGGGGUAAUGGCCCACCAAGGCGACGAUCAGUAGCUGGUCUGAGAGGAUGAUCAGCCUCACUGGGACUGAGACACGGCCCAGACUCCUACGGGAGGCAGCAGUGGGGAAUAUUGGACAAUGGGCGCAAGCCUGAUCCAGCCAUGCCGCGUGGAUGAUGAAGGCCUUAGGGUUGUAAAGUCCUUUUAACGGGGAAGAUAAUGACGGUAACCGGAGAAGAAGCCCCGGCUAACUUCGUGCCAGCAGCCGCCGUAAAAC